rnacentral:rRNA from 1 species
GACGAACGCUGGCGGCGUGCUUAACACAUGCAAGUCGAACGAAGUGGCGAACGGGUGAGUAACGCGUAAUCAACCUGCCCUUCAGAGGGGGACAACAGUUGGAAACGACUGCUAAUCCCGCAUACUGAUGGAGGGGAUUGCGUUGGAUUAGCUAGUUGGGGGGGGAACGGCCCACCAAGGCGAUGAUCAGUAGCCGGUCUGAGAGGAUGAACGGCCACAUUGGUACUGAGACACGGCCCAGACUCCUACGGGAGGCAGCAGUAGGGAAUCUUCCGCAAUGGGCGCAAGCCUGACGGAGCAACGCCGCGUGAGUGAAGAAGGUUUUCGGAUCGUAAAGCUCUGUUGUAAGAGAAGCGGUAUCUUACCAGAAAGCCACGGCUAACUACGUGCCAGCAGCCGCGGUAAUAC